CGGCCAUGCAAGUUAUCCAUGCGUUCACUCGUGCGGGGCCUUCUUACCAAUUUGCAAUAUGCAUGUACAAUAUGUACAGUCGCAGGUGCACUAACGUACCUCUGAAAAUUACUGAUUAGUCUGUGGACACAUUUGUUGUGAAUUCGGAUCGAAUAUUUGUCAGAAGGGUGAUGCUAACUUCAGGUUUUUGCUGUGUAUAGGAAUCCACUUCCAGUCAACCCUGUGAAACAUUCUUGCUGGGUCUUCGGAGAAAUUGUAGACAUUAAUGUCCUCUGUGAAGGAAGUAUAAAGCCUUUGGACAUUUAAUUCUGGACUACCAUCUGAUGUAGAUUGACUGAAUUUGGUGCAAAGAAGAAACAAGAUUGUAACCUUGUGGUGUUGUUGAAACACCUAGAAUAGGAUUCUUAAUUUGGGAGGACUGACGAUCUACAUUCUGGAGAAUCUAGUACGUGCCUACGAGACAUUUUGAUUUUGUGUUGGAAUACUUCAUAUGGUGAGUUAUGUUUUUUUUUUUCAUGGUGAUAU